rnacentral:rRNA from 1 species
GACGAACGCUGGCGGCGCGCCUAACACAUGCAAGUCGAGCGAUGAAGACAUGACCGACGCCUUCGGGAAGAAGUUAAGUUGGAUUAGUGGCGAACGGGUGAGUAACACGUGAGUAACCUGCCCCCGACUCUGGGAUAAGCCCGGGAAACUGGGUCUAAUACCGGAUAUUACCUCUUGCCGCAUGGCAGGUGGUGGAAAGAUUUGUCGGUGGGGGAUGGACUCGCGGCCUAUCAGCUUGUUGGUGAGGUAAUGGCUCACCAAGGCGACGACGGGUAGCCGGCCUGAGAGGGUGACCGGCCACACUGGGACUGGGACACGGCCCAG